GGAGGCUGGCGGCGGACGAAGCCCUCACUAAUCCGGUCAGAUCCGGAAGGAAGCAGCCGUAAUGAGAUUGUUUCGGGUCGUCUAACCAACCUCCCAC
rnacentral:SRP_RNA from 1 species